rnacentral:rRNA from 1 species
GACGAACGCUGGCGGCGUGCUUAACACAUGCAAGUCGAACGGAAAGGCCCUGCUUUUGUGGGGCGCUCGAGUGGCGAACGGGUGAGUAACACGUGAGUAACCUGCCCUUGACUUUGGGAUAACUUCAGGAAACUGGGGCUAAUACCGGAUAGGAGCUCCUGCUGCAUGGUGGGGGUUGGAAAGUUUCGGCGGUUGGGGAUGGACUCGCGGCUUAUCAGCUUGUUGGUGGGGGAGUGGCUUACCAAGGCUUUGACGGGUAGCCGGCCUGAGAGGGUGACCGGCCACAUUGGGACUGAGAUACGGCCCAGACUCCUACGGGAGGCAGCAGUGGGGAAUAUUGCACAAUGGGCGGAAGCCUGAUGCAGCAACGCCGCGUGCGGGAUGACGGCCUUCGGGUUGUAAACCGCUUUCGCCUGUGACGAAGCGUGAGUGACGGUAAUGGGUAAAGAAGCACCGGCUAACUACGUG